rnacentral:lncRNA from 10 species
UACCCUCCCCAUCACGUCCCCCACCCCAGUUUCUCCACCCCGGGUUGGCCCUGGCCCUGGUGUCUACACCCUCAGCAGACCCGCCCACCGCUCCAGCCCACGCCCAGCCCCCGCCCACUGAUACUGUCAGUAACACCAGACACCAGCCGCUAAGGUUCUCCCCCCACCCACCCGGGCACUCCGCACCACCUCCAAGCGCAUUUAUAGUUGGAAAGAAAAGCUCAUUUUUAUAGGUGGUGCCACCUCCACAAUUUAUACUUUGCCCAUGAAAUACCAAAACCAGGGAGUCAAUUUUCCAAGGAAGAAAUUUUAUAAAAACACUUUUAUUGAUGGAAGAGAUCUGCAGAGACGGUCGCCAUCUGCAAGGAAGCGAAGGCUCUUGCAGGUGCGGGUUGAUCCAGGGCUGCCCAAGCGUCCCUCACUCAGGACCACGCGCCCAGGCACUAAGCAUGUUAUUUCUGUGUCUUCCGAACAUGCUAAGCAUUUCCUUACCCUCCGGCUUUUGCUCCUGCCGUUUCUUCCUCGUGGAAGUGAAUAUUUGAAACCUACCUGGUCUUCCCAAGGUGGCCCAGUUAUUACUGUGUGACGACUUCUUCCUGGCUUCCCUGGUGAAAAGCUGUUCCGUCCUGCCUGCAGGUCCCUGUGUUACUUUGCUGAUCACAUUCUCCCUCGUGUCUGUGGGUGUGGACUCUACCCAUGACUUCCCUGUCACCUGGGGGCCGGUGCCCUGAGCCCAAGCCAGCCCUGCAUCGGGGCUGGGCACAGGGUGUACUCAGGCGAUGGUGGGGCCACAGUGCAGGUUUAGAGGGGCCCUCUCUCCACCCACGAUGCCACCAGCCUCUGUCCCACCCUACGCCACAAAUCUCCUUCAAUAUAUAAUUUGCUGUUAUCAUAGCAAUAAAUAAUUUUUGGUGACGUUUUUACUGUUGAGACUUUGUGCGGUGUUUUUUUAUUGACAAAACCGCUAUGAAUCAACAUGAACACAAUAAAAACGUGAGAGCUAUCUGCAUUACGGCUGAGGUUUUGUCAAUAGGGCAGUGCAUUGAUCUCCGUUCCUCUUUGGGGUUAUUUGUGGAGCUUCAGCGGGUGGGUUUAGGAGCUACAGUGCUCAGGAGGUGCAGCCCCGGGCCUGGCGUUUCCUGCCACACUCCCCUGGGCACUGCCUCCCUGAAGAUGGCACAGCCACAGAGAAAUCUCAGCCUUGCGGGGCAAAGGGAAGAAGACAGGGAGCUGGGAGAGAGUGUGC